GAUGAAGAACGUAGCGAAAUGCGAUAAGUAGUGUGAAUUGCAGAAUUCAGUGAAUCAUCGAAUCUUUGCACGCACAUUGCGCCCUUUGGUAUUCCAAAGGGCAUGCCUGUUCGAGCGUCAUUUGUACCCUCAAGCUUUGCUUGGUGUUGGGCGUCUUGUCUCUAGCUUUGCUGGAGACUCGCCUUAAAGUAAUUGGCAGCCGGCCUACUGGUUUCGGAGCGCAGCACAAGUCGCACUCUCUAUCAGCAAAGGUCUAGCAUCCAUUAAGCCUUUUUUUCAACUUUUGACCUCGGAUCAGGUAGGGAUACCCGCUGAACUUAAGCAUAUCAAUAAGCGGAGGA
rnacentral:misc_RNA from 1 species